rnacentral:tRNA from 1 species
AAAUAAGAAACAAAAUUUGUAUUUAGUUUCGACCUAAACCUUUGGUGGACCGCACCCUUAUUUA